UCCUGGUGGCUCAGUGGAAAGAAUCUGCCUGCAGUGCAGGAGACUCAGGUUCGAGCCCUGGAUCAGGAA
rnacentral:tRNA from 1 species